UAUUGGCAUGCCAUAAUCGAAAAAGUCACAAAAAGUCAAAACAUUACAUGAAGACAAACGGCUUUGACGUAGUCUUUGGAGUCUGACCGAGAAAGCAAUUUUGAUUCCUCUUUUGGUUGGGUUUGUAUUUCGAUUGUUUUUCCCCCUACAUUAUUCGUGCGCCCAAUCAAUCAUCGUUUUCUCCUACCUUUCUCCCCUCUAAUUUCUCAGAGUGUGGGGGUUCGGCGGCUUGAUCUAUUUGUUGUGGUUGAAGAAGAUGGGCUGCUUUAUGCCUUGCAUCGUGUUGUGCAGCGUGCGCCUGCGAUGCGUACCACACGGUGGUUUCGGGGAUUAGCCGGAAGUCUGCAAGGAUCGCCUAUUGUGGACUAUUUUCCAUUUCUUUGAUUGUUUCAUGGAUACUCCGUGAGGUUGACGCUCCUCUCAUGGAGAACAUGCCUUGGAUCAAUCAGUUUCACAAAACAUCCAAUAGGGAAUGGUUUGAAACAGAUGCGGUGCUCAGGGUCAGCUUGGGAAAUUUUCUGUUUUUCACCAUCCUUUCACUUUUAAUGAUUGGUGUGAAAAAUCAGAAAGAUCCUCGUGAUGGAUUGCACCAUCGUGGAUGGAUGAUGAAAAUUAUCUGCUGGUUCAUUUUAGUUAUUUUGAUGUUUUUUGUUCCGAAUGAGAUUAUCAGCUUUUAUGGUAAGUUACACUACUUUUGUAUCAAUCUACUAAAUUAAGAAUGUCAUUAUUUUCAUUUUCACAAAAACAAAUCAUUAUUUUGAAAGUCUUUACAUGUUACAGCCUAUAGGUGACGAUUUCUGAGAGAGGAUUCAAAAAUAGUUAAAGGAAAUGAUAAAUAAUCUAAAGUCACUUCUGAUUUUACUUCAUCUGAAACUUAAAUGUUGUAUUUGCAGAGAUGAUUUCAAAGUUCAGCUCAGGAUUGUUUCUUUUGUUCAAGUUCUUCUACUUGACUUCGUUCAUGGAUGGAAUGACAAAUGGGUUGGAUACGAUGAGCAGUUCUGGUACAUUGCUCUGUUUGUUGUUUCACUUGUUUGCUAUUUGGCGACAUUUUACUUUUUGGGACUUCUUUUCCACUGGUUCACUCUAUCUGGUUCACUCGUGGUAUUUAUAAAUAACUAUGUUUUGGUUGUUUCUAUUGCUACGCAUCGUGUUCUUGUAUCGUCGAUACGAACAUUCAGUGUAGAGUUCAGUGACUGUAACCCCUUCUGUUUCUGGUUUCCCCUGAUAAGUGGAACCAAGGAAACCCCUUCUAUUUCUAUUUCUAGUAACCCCUUCUGUUUCU